CCGGGUUCCUGCUGCACUACCAUGCGCCGUGCGGCCCGUGCGACUCGCCGGACCUCGCGGGCGUCCCUGUACGGAGCCCUCGGCCGGUCCUAGCAGGGAUUGUCCCCAUUUCCAGCUCCGGAGCGGGCGGCUGCGCCCCGCUCGUCGAGGAGCUGCGCUCACCUCAGGGGCGGGCCCCCGCCUGCGUUCGCGGCGCCAGCAGAAGACUGAUUUUUGAAAAUAUGUAUUUGGGAGACAGUCACGUCCUAUUGAAUACCUUGUGCUGGUGCUGCCAUCGAAAAAUCUGGUUACACUCCGGGGAGGACUGCUACCACUGCAGAACUGAACCACUUCGGCCAUGAGAUGAGUGUCCGGCCUGAGCAGGCACACCAUGAAUAGAUACACAACAAUCAGGCAGCUCGGGGAUGGAACCUACGGUUCCGUCCUGCUGGGAAGAAGCAUUGAGUCUGGGGAGCUGAUUGCUAUUAAAAAAAUGAAAAGAAAAUUUUAUUCCUGGGAGGAAUGCAUGAACCU
rnacentral:lncRNA from 1 species